rnacentral:lncRNA from 1 species
AUGAGCAACAAUUUAUUUUUAUUCUACUCCUUAGAAGUCUGUUUGCCCUGGCAAUCUUCUAUUUACCUGAAAGCCCAGCCUGAGCAAGACUCUGCACAGAAGAUGGUUACAAAAAGGACUCCAAAGGUGGCAGUAUCCUUUAGGCAGCAGGGAGAAAAGCCAUUUCAAGCAGCCUGCAAACACCAAAGGACUGAGCUACCCUGCCAGAAAGCUCUUCCUGUGGCAUCACGUGUAAGUUUUAUCCAUUAACGUACAGCUAGAUGUGGUGCUAGGAAGCCAUAAACAUCUAUGGGCAUCACAAGUGAAAAAGGGCCCCAAAUUGUUUCCCAGACAGCAUAGAGAUUUCUGGAAAACCUACUCCAAAUGUAACCCAGGUAGAGUGCCUGCUGCUGCACUGCUUCCCAGUGUAACCCUUACUGCUUUGAAGGGUGGAUAGGCUGAAAGACAGGGUAAAUAUGCUGCCCUGUUUAGGUCUUUGUAACUUUUGGAUGGAUUAAACCAUGCUCAGCACGUUCUGCCUCGCCCUGCCCCUCCUCCUGUAUUGACUUCCUUCAUGUGGGGUAGGAGAGCUUUUGUUCACCUGGGAGCCAUAACCCUGGCCCCCCCUGCCCUGCCUGCCUUGGAGCUCAGCCCAUGCACUGC